GCAUUGUUUGCAAUCAUUAUCGUAUCGCUUACGUCAAACUAUCGAAUUACGUGUGUUUUAAAAACAUUCGUAAUCCCAGCGCAAUUACUGUAAUGCGAUAUUUGUCGUUGUUUUGGGCGGCAGACUCCAUUAAGUGAUAGGUAAAACCAGGUAAAACUCACCAUCUGCCGUGACGCUCAAAGUGUAAAGUACUCGAAGUCAUCGGAAUCCUGAUAAGAGGCGCCGGUCUUGAUACUGGAACAUACUGGAACAUUUACAAUGAAUUUUGAUUUUUAAGUUGAUGGGACUGAUUUCUCUGUUGCGGCUUUUCAUCAAAGGCCUCACAGUGUGGGCUGGCACAGACGGAGUUGAUAUUGGUACAAAGUUCGGCCUAGGGCCCUAAAAUUCCUUGGGUCCGCGGUCUGCUCCCAACACCUUGCAGAUCGUCAAGUCCCACAUACGCCGCGCACCCCCUAGUCGCGGGGAUCUCGUAGGAGGUUCAGCCCCCAGCCCGAAAAAAACAAAAAAAAGGUUCAGCCCGUGAGCUCACCUAUCCGUCUGCGCGCAGUAGGAUUUACCUCGUAGGCUGUCAACGAUUAUGCUGGGGAGAAGAAGAAGGGAAGAAAAAAAAAGAAUCUACCACCGGAUCGGAAACGCGACCCACUGAGAAGAUCCGGCGACAAACUCAGCGGGCUGUGUCUGUGGGUUAAUUUACUCGCCGAGCUUUUCGUCGCAAGCGACGGGUUCGACGAGAACGAUGACCGGAAAGAAAAAAAAAAGUGGAGCCCAGGAUGGGUGUAAACUUGUUGUUGGUCAAUAUACAUAAUUGAACGAUUUUAAACAGCACACGGACUCAUUAGUUCGCACCCUAGUCAACGAAAACUUAAAAUUAAAACCAGGGGUGAGGCACAGUGGGAAGCGAUGUCGUAAAAAUAAUAAUUAGAUUGAAAAUAAUCAAGCUGGGUUCAUUCUUUAAACUCGAAUGAAUUGAUUCGCGAUAUAAAUGGACAUGAUGAUGGUAUCGACUCGUACGCAUUUACAACCAGCAUUUUUUUUUCUUAGGUGAGUGGACGAGCUCAGGGCCCACCUGAAGUAAAGUGGUUACCGGUGUCCAUAGACAUCUACAACGUAAAUGCCGCCACUUACCUUGAGAUUAUAUUCUAAGGUCUCAGUUUUUAUAGUAAAGCUUUAUGAGUAAUUACGCAAAUAAAAAAACUGUUUAAAAACAAA